rnacentral:rRNA from 1 species
CUGCUGCCUCCCGUAGGAGUCUGGUCCGUGUCUCAGUACCAGUGUGGGGGACCUUCCUCUCAGAACCCCUACGCAUCGUCGCCUUGGUGGGCCGUUACCCCGCCAACAAGCUAAUGCGACGCAUGACCAUCCGUAGCCGGAAUCGCUCCCUUUAAACCCACAGAGAUGCCUCCAUGGGUUGUUACGCGGUAUUAGACGGAAUUUCUUCCGCUUAUCCCCCUGCUACGGGCAGGUUUCAUACGUGUUACUCACCCGUGCGCCGGUCGCCGGG